rnacentral:rRNA from 1 species
AGUGAACGUUGGCGGCGUGGAUUAGGCAUGCAAGUCGAGCGAGAACCGUAGCAAUACGGGGACAGCGGCGAAAGGGACAGUAAUGUGUAGGUACCUACCUCCGGGUUCGGGAUAGCUGCGGGAAACUGCAGGUAAUACCGAAUAACGUCGCCGGACCACAGGUGUGAUUCCACCUGGAGAGGGGCCUGCAUCCUAUUAGCUCGUUGGCGGGGUAACGGCCCACCAAGGCGACGAUGGGUAGCGGGUGUGAGAGCACGACCCGCGUCAUUGGGACUGAGACACUGCCCAGACACCUACGGGUGGCUGCAGUCGAGGAUCUUCGGCAAUGGGCGCAAGCCUGACCGAGCGACGCCGCGUGCGGGAUGAAGGCCUUCGGGUUGUAAACCGCUGUCGUAGAGGAGGAAGUGCAGGGGGGUUCUCCCCUCUGUUUGACCUAUUCUAGGAGGAAGGACGGGCUAAGUUCGUGCCAGCCGCCGCCGUAA